rnacentral:rRNA from 1 species
UACGGAGGGUGCAAGCGUUAUCCGGAUUCACUGGGUGUAAAGGGUGCGUAGGCGGACACUUAAGUCCGAGGUGAAAUCUCUGGGCUUAACCCAGAAACUGCCAUGGAUACUAUUUGUCUUGAAUGUUGUGGAGGUUAGCGGAAUAUGUCAUGUAGCGGUGAAAUGCAUAGAUAUGACAUAGAACACCAAUUGCGAAGGCAGCUGGCUAGACAAAUAUUGACGCUGAGGCACGAAAGCGUGGGGAUCAAACAGG